AUGGGUGUAGCGCAGUCUGAUUAGCGCACCUGGUUUGGGACCAGGGGGUCGUGGGUUUGAAUCCCUCCACCCGUACCA
rnacentral:tRNA from 1 species